rnacentral:rRNA from 1 species
UGUAUAAUGGGUCAGCGACUUAUAUUCUGUAGCAAGGUUAACCGAAUAGGGGAGCCGAAGGGAAACCGAGUCUUAACUGGGCGUUAAGUUGCAGGGUAUAGACCCGAAACCCGGUGAUCUAGCCAUGGGCAGGUUGAAGGUUGGGUAACACUAACUGGAGGACCGAACCGACUAAUGUUGAAAAAUUAGCGGAUGACUUGUGGCUGGGGGUGAAAGGCCAAUCAAACCGGGAGAUAGCUGGUUCUCCCCGAAAGCUAUUUAGGUAGCGCCUCGUGAAUUCAUCUCCGGGGGUAGAGCACUGUUUCGGCAAGGGGGUCAUCCCGACUUACCAACCCGAUGCAAACUGCGAAUACCGGAGAAUGUUAUCACGGGAGACACACGGCGGGUGCUAACGUCCGUCGUGAAGAGGGAAACAACCCAGACCGCCAGCUAAGGUCCCAAAGUCAUGGUUAAGUGGGAAACGAUGUGGGAAGGCCCAGACAGCCAGGAUGUUGGCUUAGAAGCAGCCAUCAUUUAAAGAAAGCGUAAUAGCUCACUGGUCGAGUCGGCCUGCGCGGAAGAUGUAACGGGGCUAAACCAUGCACCGAAGCUGCGGCAGCGACGCUUAUGCGUUGUUGGGUAGGGGAGCGUUCUGUAAGC